UACAGAGGGGGCAAGCGUUGUUCGGAAUUAUUGGGCGUAAAGGGCGCGUAGGCGGCUUUGCAAGUGACGGGUGAAAUCCCUCGGCUUAACCGAGGAACUGCCUGUCAAACUGCAUGGCUUGAGACCGGGAGAGGUGAGUGGAAUUCCCAGUGUAGCGGUGAAAUGCGUAGAUAUUGGGAGGAACACCAGUGGCGAAGGCGGCUCACUGGACCGGUACUGACGCUGAGGCGCGAAAGCGUGGGGAGCAAACAGG
rnacentral:rRNA from 1 species